CUGCUGCCUCCCGUAGGAGUUUGGGCCGUGUCUCAGUCCCAAUGUGGCCGGCCACCCUCUCAGGUCGGCUACUGAUCGUCGCCUUGGUGGGCCGUUACCUCACCAACCAGCUAAUCAGACGCGGAUCCAUCCCAUACCACCGGAGUUUUUCACACCGGACCAUGCGGUCCUGUGCGCUUAUGCGGUAUUAGCAGUCAUUUCUAACUGUUAUCCCCCUGUAUGAGGCAGGUUAUCCACGCGUUACUCACCCGUCCGCCG
rnacentral:rRNA from 1 species